rnacentral:rRNA from 1 species
UUAGAGGAAGUAAAAGUCGUAACAAGGUUUCCGUAGGUGAACCUGCGGAAGGAUCAUUACAGUAGUCGCCCGGGUUGCCGCAAGGCCUCCCGGGUAACCUACCACCCUUUGUUUAUUACACUUUGUUGCUUUGGCAGGCCUGCCCUCGGGCUGCUGGCUCCGGCCGGCGAGCGCCUGCCAGAGGACCUAAACUCUGUUUGUCUAUACUGUCUGAGUACUAUAUAAUAGUUAAAACUUUCAACAACGGAUCUCUUGGUUCUGGCAUCGAUGAAGAACGCAGCGAAAUGCGAUAAGUAAUGUGAAUUGCAGAAUUCAGUGAAUCAUCGAAUCUUUGAACGCACAUUGCGCCCCCUGGUAUUCCGGGGGGCAUGCCUGUCCGAGCGUCAUUACAACCCUCAAGCUCAGCUUGGUAUUGGGCCCCGCCGCUCCGGCGGGCCCUAAAGUCAGUGGCGGUGCCGUCCGGCUCCGAGCGUAGUAAUUCUUCUCGCUCUGGAGGUCCGGUCGUGUGCUCGCCAGCAACCCCCAAUUUUUUUCAGGUUGACCUCGGAUCAGGUAGGGAUACCCGCUGAACUUAAGCAUAU